rnacentral:rRNA from 1 species
UGGGUGGGUAAAUGCCGGAUGUUCCACAUGAUCGCAUGUGAUUGUGGGAAAGAUUCUAUCGGCGUGGGAUGGGGUCGCGUCCUAUCAGCUUGUUGGUGAGGUAACGGCUCACCAAGGCUUCGACGGGUAGCCGGCCUGAGAGGGCGACCGGCCACAUUGGGACUGAGAUACGGCCCAGACUCCUACGGGAGGCAGCAGUGGGGAAUAUUGCACAAUGGGCGCAAGCCUGAUGCAGCGACGCCGCGUGAGGGAUGGAGGCCUUCGGGUUGUAAACCUCUUUUGUUUGGGAGCAAGCCUUCGGGUGAGUGUACCUUUCGAAUAAGCGCCGGCUAACUACGUGCCAGCAGCCGCGGUAAUACGUAGGGCGCAAGCGUUAUCCGGAUUUAUUGGGCGUAAAGGGCUCGUAGGCGGCUCGUCGCGUCCGGUGUGAAAGUCCAUCGCUUAACGGUGGAUCUGCGCCGGGUACGGGCGGGCUGGAGUGCGGUAGGGGAGACUGGAAUUCCCGGUGUAACGGUGGAAUGUGUAGAUAUCGGGAAGAACACCGAUGGCGAAGGCAGGUCUCUGGGCCGUCACUGACGCUGAGGAGCGAAAGCGUGGGGAGCGAACAGGAUUAGAUACCCUGGUAGUCCACGCCGUAAACGGUGGACGCUGGAUGUGGGGCACGUUCCACGUGUUCCGUGUCGGAGCUAACGCGUUAAGCGUCCCGCCUGGGGAGUACGGCCGCAAGGCUAAAACUCAAAGAAAUUGACGGGGGCCCGCACAAGCGGCGGAGCAUGCGGAUUAAUUCGAUGCAACGCGAAGAACCUUACCUGGGCUUGACAUGUUCCCGACGACGCCAGAGAUGGCGUUUCCCUUCGGGGCGGGUUCACAGGUGGUGCAUGGUCAAG